GACGAACGCUGGCGGCGUGCUUAACACAUGCAAGUCGAGCGGAAAGGCCACUUCGGUGGUACUCGAGCGGCGAACGGGUGAGUAACACGUGAGUAAUCUGCCCUGGACUUCGGGAUAGCCCACCGAAAGGUGGAUUAAUACCGGAUAUGACACGUUCUCGCAUGGGGGUGUGUGGAAAGUUUUUUCGGUUCAGGAUGUGCUCGCGGCCUAUCAGCUUGAUGGUGAGGUAAUGGCUCACCAUGGCUUCGACGGGUAGCCGGCCUGAGAGGGUGACCGGCCACACUGGGACUGAGACACGGCCCAGACUCCUACGGGAGGCAGCAGUGGGGAAUAUUGGACAAUGGGCGGAAGCCUGAUCCAGCAACGCCGCGUGAGGGAUGACGGCCUUCGGGUUGUAAACCUCUUUCAGCAGGGAAGAAGCGAAAGUGACGGUACCUGCAGAAGAAGCACCGGCUAACUACGUGCCAGCCGCCGCCGUAAUAC
rnacentral:rRNA from 1 species